rnacentral:lncRNA from 1 species
AUGUGGCACGGCCCACGAUUUAGACAUCUUUCGUACAUCACAGCCUUAAGUGCAGGUCUUUGUGGUUUAAGCGUGGAUCCUCAGCUCUGCAGGGCACUGCCAGCCCCUCGGCACAGCAUCCUCCCGCUCCUCCUCCCGCUCCCCCCAGGCUGGGGCAGCUCCUGCUCCUUGUUCAUGGCAGCACCUCCAGCUCCUGGGGACACAGAACCACAGCCCAGUUGUCACCAUACAGCAGAGGGAAUCUUUGGCAGCGUUUCAGUGCGUCACUAUGCCAGAAAGGUGCCUUUGGAAGACAGAAAUAAAUUGGAAGCAUGGGGAUUCAUUGUGAAAUGCCUGCCAGAGCUGCAGCCAUUCCUGCGAGCACUUCCUGAGCAGCUUAUGAAUACCCUGGAGAUGCAUGUCCCAGACAUCUGACGUUUAGGACCAGCAUCCCUUGCA